GACGUAGGGCGCGAGCGUUGUCCGGAUUUAUUGGGCGUAAAGAGCUCGUAGGCGGCUUGUCGCGUCGGAUGUGAAAACCCAGGGCUCAACCCUGGGCCUGCAUUCGAUACGGGCAGACUAGAGUAUGGCAGGGGAGACUGGAAUUCCUGGUGUAGCGGUGAAAUGCGCAGAUAUCAGGAGGAACACCGGUGGCGAAGGCGGGUCUCUGGGCCAAAACUGACGCUGAGGAGCGAAAGCGUGGGGAGCGAACAGG
rnacentral:rRNA from 1 species